rnacentral:rRNA from 1 species
GACGAACGCUGGCGGCGUGCUUAACACAUGCAAGUCGAGCGGUAAGGCCCUUCGGGGUACACGAGCGGCGAACGGGUGAGUAACACGUGAGCAAUCUGCCCUUCACUCAGGGAUAACCACCGGAAACGGUGGCUAAUACCUGAUAUGACCACUUCACGCAUGUGAUGGUGGUGGAAAGUUCUGGCGGUGGAGGAUGAGCUCGCGGCCUAUCAGCUUGUUGGUGGGGUAAUGGCCUACCAAGGCAACGACGGGUAGCCGGCCUGAGAGGGUGACCGGCCACACUGGGACUGAGACACGGCCCAGACUCCUACGGGAGGCAG